AUCCUGAAGCAGAACAGGGAGGAAAAUGCAAGUAAGUAAUGUCAGACCUUAUAUUUUUUUGGAGGAUACCCAGGGAUCAAAGGCCUAGUUCAAAGAGUAGAGAAGUCAGUGCCCCAUGUCGGGGGCUGACUUUUUGGAAGCCAGAGGUCCCAUCCUGAUGGUUAGGGACAGUGGCUGGCAGCCAUGACUGAUGGGUCUAUACAGGGAAGCAAGGUUAAAAAUAUCUACCAUCUAGAAAUAAAAAUGAUUCACUCAGAAGAAAUUAAAACCCACAGAACAUUCCACAUUGAGUGCAGUGAUUGCAGCUGUGGUUCAAUUCCUUAAAUACUCCUGAGACCAAAAGACUCAAAAGAGUAGUGAAUCCUCAUCCAUUUCCUCCACUUAGACCCUUACAAAGCACAGGAUCAGAGACUGUGUUUUAUCUUUAAAGAUUUCCAAUGGGAGGAAAUCUUUCUGUCCCUUAGCAGUCCAUAGCAGUAUUGAUCAUCUUCCUCUGAAAGCCAUUCCCUGUUUACAAUUAGGACCUGUGUUUGACAGUCAUUUAAAUGUUUCUUUUCAUUUCGGGCUGAAGCAGGGGUGAGUUGGAGCUGAAUCUUUCCACCCCCAUUCAGUCUUGUUUAAAGCAACACAUCUCAAAGGUUGGUUUGCUGGCUUGUUUUAAUUAAGUACUAUAAAAGACCACAGGGCUAAAACAGCUGUCACUCCCACCCAAUCCUCCUCUCUGUCCUAAAAGAAACCAUUGCUAAAAGUAUCGUUCCCAAGGUUGCUUAUGCAUACAUUUGAGUGGCUUUUAAAUCACAAAUGCCUUACCAGUUAGCAUUGUAUCUUAGAGAUCCCUUCUGUGGUCCUAGUUUGUCUUGAAAGCGUUUCUCUCGUAACUACUGAUUCUCCGAGACCAGCAAUGCCCAAAAUAGGACACUCCCACUGUUUCCUCUGUGCCUUCCACCAUUCAGAUUUGGGGCUUAUUUCUCUUGGAACAUUUUAUACUCUCAGUUGAUUUAUCACCUUCAAACACUAUCCAUUCCAUUUCUCACUUCUCGCUGCUUAUCAAGAGGAAAGUUGAAUACUUACACAAACCUGCGCCUCUUCUCCUUUUACACCCCGAAGGUGUGUUUUCAUUUUUGCAUGGACAUAGUGUGUAAUAUUUGUAUUCCAUGUUGUAACUAUAAUUCUCCCACAAAGGGAGGCUUAUGUUUUUCUGGCAUUUUAGUAUAAAAUUCUUAAACACACAGCAAUGCCAAAAAAAUAUUAUAAGGAACGCUUGUAUGCCCACCACCUAAAUUCUGCGAUGAAACUUUUACGCUGCAGUUGUCCCUUGAUAUCUGUGGGGGACUCGUUCAGGACUUCCCCAGAUACCAAGGUGGCUCAUGCCUGUAAUCCUAGCACUUGCGGAGGAUCACUUGAAGUCAGGAGUUCAAGACUAGCCUAGGUACCGUAGCAAAACCUCAUCUCUACAAAAAAUAAAAAAUUUAGCCACGCACAGGAAUGCACACCUAUAGUCCCAGCUACUCAGGAGACUGAGACAGGAGGAUUGCUUGAGCCCAGGGGUCUAAGGCUGCCAUGAGCUGUGAUUAUACCACUGAACUUCAGCCUUGGUGACAGAGGAAGACCCUGUCUCUAAAUCACUAAAUGGUGUCGUAUUUGCAUAUACCUAUUCAUGUCCUCCCGUAUACUUUAAAUUAUCUCUAGAUUACUUUAAUGCCCAAGACAAUAUAAGUACUGUGUAAAUAACUGUUAUACUGUCCAAGGAUAAGAAAAAGUCUGUAUAUGUUCGAUACAUAAUUUUUUCAAAAAUACUUUCAACCAAAGCUUGGUUGGCUGGGUCCACAGAUCCAGAGGGCCACCUGUACUUGCUUUGUCACAUAUUUAUGCACCCAUCAAUCCAUCUUAUUUGUGUGUGCAAUUCACAGUAAGACAAAGACAUCAAUAAACCUUCCUAAGCAUGCAUCUCACCAGCCAGAGCUCAGUAUUAGUUUAUAGUGUUCCUCGUCUGAUACAAAUCUAUACAUUUCAUUAUGUAUAAAACUUUAUAUUUUUUAAUGGCUGGAUGCUCAUCAGCUUCUUACUGAACUUCUGUCUGGAUGUCUUCUUUAGCCAAAUUUGUCCUCUUUUCUUCUCUUCAGAAUGAGCCCAUGGGAAACAGAAUUCCCGAGCUGUGCAUGUUUCAGUGCAUCCAUCCUUUGAUUGUAUAGUUGAGUGACAGUUUGAGUGGGUAUAAAACCUGAAUGUUUUCCCAGCAGGGUUUUGGGGACAUUGCUCUCACUGAAUAUACUGCUGUAAAGAAGUUUUCUGACCUAUUUUUUCCCUACCACUAUCGUGAUUUUUGUUGCUAGUUUUUUGCCUUGACAGAGAGACUCACAGAAUUGUUGCAGUCUAGCCCAGUGAUGUGCCAACACUAAUGCAGAUGUGAAUCACCUGUCAAUCCUGUUAAAAUGCAGAUUCUAACUUGCGAAGUCUGGGGCAAGGCCUGAGAUUCUGCAUCCCUAAUGAGUGGAUCUAUGGGCAGCGGGGAAGAAAAAACAAGGGAACAGUGACCUCCUGAGGAAUCCAGAAGAAUGAAUCUAUGAUCUCAUGCACCGUGCAUCAGAAAUACUAAAGGAAGGGGAAGAAGGGAAAUUCAACAUCCAGCAAGGGCCUGUUCGUCAAACACUACACCUAAAAUCCAGUGGGAAAGUAAACUAGAGAAACUAUAUACAAGCGCAGGAGAGCCAGUUUGUUUGUUUUGGUAAAUGACUGGCUCUAGAAGCAGCUGGGUCCCAAAUUGCAUCACCUGGAGGUGUCUAUUUGUCUAUCUCAGCUGUGCACGAGGGGCUCUGUCAUCCAGGAUUCGACGGGAUUCUUAAGAGCUGGUCCUAUGACCCAGCUUGGCUUGUUUGCCGAAAAAUACAAAAUGACCCUUUUCAUACCAUGAAGGGGUUCUGUGUUUCGUUCAGCAUGGAAGAAAACUCUGACAAUUCAAAGAAGUAAAUUAACCCUCUCAAUUUUAUAGAAGAGGAAGGUGAAUUCUGAAGGAUUUGGGGAGUUGGUCUCUCAAGACUGCAACUCCCUGCAGAUGCCAAAGGCCUCUCCCUUGCCACCCUCUCACACUGCCAGCCAGAGAGCGAGAGGGAGCUCAAACCAGACCUAGCCCUGGCUAGGAAGCAGCAAACCGCGUGUAACAUUUCAAAAUGAAAUCAAACUACAGUGCCAGGUUGGCAAUCCACCAACAAUCCAAUUUUGCAUGUAGACAUUGCACGUCGGGGGGCAUAGCCUCCCCCCUACCAGGCUCUACAUGCACCAGCUCUCCAAGCUACCCAAAUGCUUUUGCAGUGAUUCCAUCCAAACCAGGAAAAAUGACUUUGCAUUCUUCUGAAGACAGCAGCCAAACCCAAGUACGAUACCAGCCCAAACUCAACAUCCUAAUUAAAGUGCCUCUUACCUGAUUUGAUUGCUUUAAUGGGGUAAGUGGCAUGAGCAAGAAAGUUGGGAUCACUGAACAUAUCUUCUUCGUAAACCACGAAGCGCAGAAAUGCCAGGUUUGGGUCAUAAAUUUCAAAUGUCACCUUCUCCUGUGUUGGAGCCCAGAUAGGGCUGAGGCCAUUAUCAUCUGGAAGGAGGUAAAAGCUCAUUAGAGGCCACACUGAGCUACCCUUUCCUGGUAAAACAAUCUCUGUGUCCUUCAGCCAUGAAUCCCCUUGGCAACCAUGUAAACAAACACACAUCCAUGCCAAGAUCUAAGAAAAACUGAAUAAUUAUCUUCACUCCCCAACCCCACCUGGUGCAAUCCUGGAAGCUGCUGUUGCAGACUGGUCUCUUGGUGAGCAGAGGAAGGAGAUCACCUCCCAUCUCCCCUCCUCCAGGAUCGGGAAUGAAAGGAAGGGGGAGGUGUUUGCAGAGCCGGAAGGUGGAUUUUGGAAAAGAUAAAAGGGGAGAAGAGAGCCCGGGAGCCACGUCUACCAGCAGGGGGUCCUACAGCUGGCAGGGGAGAGCCCAGCCUCACAGAGCAGCCAAGAAGCAAUCCUGCCACUCUUCAUACAUGCCCCUUUACUUGAUCAGCAUCUGAGUUAUUCACUGGGCUACUUUUGACCAGGGGCAAGGAUCCUGUGCCUUAGAAGGCCCAUGAUUCACGGUUCCUUCCCAGCUUUUCCUGGAAGAGCAAGCCUUCCUCUUUUCCCUCCUGCCUUCUAGGGGCUAAGAUCCCCCAGGUUAGGCUAAUGUUCUGGCCCAGGUCAGCCAUGCAGAUUCACCUUCUCUCUCUGUGUCUCUGCCUCUUGGCCUUUGACUCUGAAGAUAAAUCAGACUGGGCUAUUUCACAGAGAGGACCUAUCUAGUGUCAGGGCACAGUGGGCGAGGGUCUCACCUAGGAUUCCAGACUUGAGUGACAGGCAGGCAAGCAGCACUGGGGAAAGUCUAAGGAUUUAACAAAGUGGCCGUUUGUAUCCCCUCCUCAAGCUGAGCCACGUGGGCGAUAGGAAAGAAUUUCCUGGGACAGCAGAAGUGCAUUGCAAAAUCCCUCACGAAGAGCAUCGCCACAAAGGGUUCACUGGCUGGACAUGUAAAAGCAGAGGGGCCAAGGCAACUUACUCACAACCGUUGUUUUGAACUUGUUGUUGUCAUACUCAGCUCCACAGAUCUCCACUUCUACAAAGGGACAGGCAAUACUUCGUCCAGGUUUGGGGAGAUGGCGAGCACCGAGAACCUGAGACACAGAAGGUGUAUCAGAACUACGCUAUGAAUACCAGCUGCAUUAGAUACAUCGAGUAAGAAGGAAAAAUAGUUUGCAGAAAAGAAAACGCAGUUGCUCCGUAAAUAAGGAGAAAAGUGGUCGACGUCGCUUACAAGCAGCAGCUCUAAUGGACGGUUUAUCAGUUUUCACCACUCAGUUGUGCCAAUGGCGAAAAGUUCAACAAAACUCUAUGAAGUUAUACCCAAAGAGUGUACCCUAACCCCCAACUAUUUACAUUCUCGCCUGUGAUCUCUAUGGAGGGCAGUUUGGCAACGUGGCUUAGCUGGGGCACACCUGCAGGGAGGUCUGCAGUGGUUUUCAGCAGGGCAAAGUUUAUCCAAAUGCAAGUGCUGUCCGACUCCCCCUGCCCUUCGGAGAAUCUGUCCUACAGACGUACUCCUGCAUCUGUGGAAUGCCACUCACGUAGCGGUACAGAAAGCAGUGCUGUUCUGUCUGCGACAGCGAAUAAUGGGGAAUACCUACAUGUGCCUCCACGGGGACUUGUUAAAUAAAUGAUGGUUCCAUGCAAUGGAAUCCGAUGCGGCUAUAAAAGGAAUGUAAAGGAGGCUACUGAUGAAUAGAUCCCCCAAAAGAGGUUUUAAAUAACAAUAACAAAAGCACAAAGCCCUGUGAUUUAUGGAACCACGUUGUGUCCAGAAGUUUGUGUAUGCUGGAGAUGCCGGCAUGUGAAUGUCUGAGCCCAAAACCCUCACAGGGCGACAGGCCCGGGGGAGAGAGCUCCAAAGAUGCUUUAGCUACAUGAGCUCGUGCAUUUUCUUUUUCUCCUAAGCUAGACUACCUCAGCCUCUGUCACUUGCAGUCACCAAGCCUGCCUGAGCCAAGCACCUGUCGGUCCUCUCAUCCCUCCAUUCAGCUGCUGGACCUCAUAGUAACCAGCACUCUGCUGAACUGUGGUCCCUUAGACAAAUCACUCAUUCCUGGACACCACCUUGUACUGCUGACCCAAGCUGACUUGGCCUGGAGUGACUGCCACUGCCACCUUGUAGGGACAGGACUACCUUUAGUCCAUCUUUACCUG